GGGAGCAGGCUAGUUCUGGACUGGAAGAAGCUAUUGGAUGAGAGAUCCCCAGCUCUGCAUGAUGCUGUUAGGUUCCUGCAGUGGGAUCAUCAAUUUUUGACCAUCUUUAAGAUCAUGCCAGUCUGCUUUCCAGGUUAAAAGGUCCUACUUUUCUGUACUCCUUCCUGGCACUUCCUUCAAUGUGAUGGGUUUCCCAGGAAGAAAAUUCCUGCAAAAGAAGUCCUGGUGUUUUAUCUGACAGAUCUUCCUGUUGCUUGGAAAUCUACAGGAGUCCUGAGUGCAGUGACAUAAAACUACUUCUUCUUCAACAAAGGUGUUCUACAGUUGUGGAAAAGUGAAAGGAAUGGCUCAAUGGGUGGCUUCCACGGGGGUGUUAGUGUGGGCUUUCAUCCAGCAGCCAUAUGCUCACAAAGCCAACAGCUCCCUCUUUCCCUCGUGGAAGCAGUCACAGAGCAGAUCAGCCGAGUGUGAAACUUCUCAGCAGCUGAGUUUCUGAAGCUCAGGCAACCCUUUGUCUCCCAGAGGCUCUGGGAGUAGCUGUGUGUGGAUGAGUGUCUGCAGAGCACAGGAGUGACGGGAAGGGCCCCACUGAGGCACCAAGCAGGAGAGGAGACCUUGCUAAAUGGCCCAGCCCCACCACUCGUGUGCGUCAUGUGCACCCAGCCCUGGCAGCCAUGCCGGGAGCAGGGGGCAGACCCAUAUCCAUGGCUUUCAGUUCCAUCACCUUCAACUGGUUUAUUCUAAGAAAGUCUGCCUAGGAUUCAUCCACCCAAAGUGUCACACUUCACAGCUUCCUUCCCACACAGAGCUUGGUUCCUUGCUCUGAAUAAACAUCACUUCCCUGCCUGCAUCCCCACAGCCAGGCUGCUGCCUGCCUCCCCCUGUCCCCUAGAGAGGUGUGGCAUGUCUAAUUCAUACUUGAGAGCUGCAUCCUGCUGCCCACCACGUGCAGGAAAAAGAAUAGAGAUAAAAACUACACCAGCCUCAUUGGUUUCCAAUUCUAGUCAGGGCAGGCAGAGGCCUGGUACUCACAGAUGGCAACACCAAGACGUUCUGUGCUCAGGGAUCUGAUCCCAGACAGGUUCCAAUCCACUUCCCAGUGAGCAAAUGCCAGUUUUUAGGGCAGCAGAUGGUUUGUGGCUCCUGAAGAGUUCCCUUUCUUGGCACAGAAAUGGCUGGGACUGCUCAAAAGCUCCUGAGUGAUGCCCAGAGGAUGGUUCCAGACUCUUUUUGGUGGUGUCCCGCACCAGGAAAAGGAGCAAUGGCCAUAAACUAAAACACAAGUUCCACCUCAACAUGAGGAAGAACUUCUUUCCAUGGUGGCUAGCAGAGCCCUGGAACAGCUGCCCAAGGAGGCUGUGGAGUGUCUCUGGAGACAUUCCGAACCCACCCGGACAAGUUCCUGUGUCACCUGCUCCAGGUGACCCUGCCUGGGCAAGGGGUUGGUCUGGGAGGUCCCUUUCAGCCCCAAUGAUUCUGUGAUUCUGUGAUGUGGGUUUUGUCCCAGAUGAUAUGCAUUUUGUCCAGUUCAUCCUACAACAGAAACAACUAAUUUGUGUGAAAGCUCCCUGUUAGCUCCAUGACAACGACGGUGUAAGAGACUCAGAGAACCUCCUGAGGCAUCUCAGACAUCACCACAGCCAGAACCUAAAGGCAGGUUCAGAAUCCUGCUUUUAGGAAUCAGGGUAAUGAAGAAACUGUACUGACCCUGAACACAGAACACCAUCCACCUCUGGAAAGACACUUGAGUAAGUGUCUUUAGAGUAAGCAAAGACUUUGUGACAGUGGUUCAUCUGUGACAUACGCAGAACAAGUUUUUCAUUAAAGAGAUCAAGAACUAUUUCUAUGAGGACUGAUAGGAUGUGAAAAUCCAGGGAAAAACAAAGAGAGAUUUGGCCACAUGGGGAAUGUAUUUGUGGAGAGCCCAGGAAGCCCAGAUACAGGGGAUGACAGACUGAGAUGGAUGAAAGGACUUAAGCUACACCAGGGAAAAUUCAGUGAAAUACAACCAUUUGGCUUGGCCACAGCUUUCUCCCUUUCCUCAUGGGGCUGGCUGAAGGAAACAGAGAUGCAUCUACUGGUGGUCAUGGAAGUGGUGGAGAGGAGGAAGAGGAAUGGAAGACAUUCAUGUGGACACCAACCUGACCAUCACAUACAUAGAAAAGUCUUCAACUGAUGACAGCACCUUGUUAUCUUUAACUUUCCCAGUUAUCUCCCAGGUGGGAAGGGGAAGAGAAGCUCAAGAGGACUUUAGCCAACAUAUUCCCCAUCUGCUGCUGGUGGAGCAGCAGUGUCCUGGCUGCAGCUCAACCACCGCAGGUUUGUUUCCUGCCAAAGGGUCACUGGGGAAGUGGAGUCAAACCUGUGUCACUGAUCAGCAACAGGAAACAUUACAACUCAGCUGCUUCCACUGACAGUCCUUCUGACCUUCCCGAAAGAUAACGACCAAAGUGUCACUCCAUCCCAGUGCACACUGUUCUGUGGAAUGGAAAAACACCAGUAAAAAGAUCUCUGUGAUGAACAGAUUGUGCUCUUCCCAACAGACCUUCUGUGCCACACUGACUGUGUUCCUCCUGACAGUCUCCUCCAUGCUGAACUGACCCUGUUCCUCCAACAGCCCCGUGUGCCACAGUGACUGUUGCUCCCGAUAGUUCCCUGCCAGGAUCAGAACCCAUGCCGACAGCUGUUUGACAUCCCCCUCCCAGCCACUAAUUCCUCCUGGCAGUGUUUGCCUUGCCUGCCCACCCCCACAGCUCUGCUGGGAGAGAGGAUGUGUUCCCAGCUCCCAGCUCCCUCUCAUUAUUAAAGCUGUCAGUUGUUAAUUAUAGUGCUGCAUUUCAACUUGAUACUUCCCAGGGGGCCAAACCAUGCCAAAAGACCAAAAUUACUUCCCAGUGGAAUAUUUUUGGAGACUCUGCUAGACAUGAGCCUGUGCCUCUAUCAACUAGGGUGAGACAUUACUGACUGCUCUCAGGAGAUUGGAACUGCACUUGCUCUAAGACCCACACCUGCUCUUGUUACCCUUCAGAGCCAACAUUCCCACUCCCUAGAUGGGAGUCAUGGCUUUCUUAAGGAUAUGAAUAUAAGGAUAUAUUGCUUUUAAUGAUAUAAAACUAUUAAAAAGUGUCCAAAGGGGGACUAUGAACAUGUGGAAGGGUCUGGAGGGGCCACACAAGGAGCAGCUGAAGAGGAGACUGAGGGGAGACUCACUGGGGUCUGCAGCUCCUCCUGAGGGGCAGCUCUGAUCUCUGCUCGCUGUGACAGGGACAGGACCCAGGGAAUGUCUGGAGCUGUGCCAGGGUAAUUGGGAUGGAGCUCAGGGAAAGGUUCUUCUCCCAGAGGUGCUGGCACUGCCCAGGCUCCCCAGGGAAUGGGCACAGCCCCGAGGCUGCCAGAGCUCCAGGAGGGUUUGGACAGCGCUGCCAGGGAUGCCCAGGGUGGGAUUGUUGGGGGGUCUGGGCAGGGCCAGGGGUGGGACCCGAUGAUUCUGUGUGUUGCUUCCAGCUUAGGAUAUUCUGGGAUUCUCUGAAUCACACAACCAUGACCACCAGGCCUAUGAGACCCUCACAUUCCUCUCAGUGAGGAAUGCAGUUCUGUGAAGUUCCAAGCAAGUAGUCAGGUCACGUGAGAGCAAACACCUAAGACACAGAUGUGAUGCUGGUAUUCUUUAGCUUGUAGCAACAUUACCCAGCCAAGUUGCCCCUUUGCCUCAUGUGCCCAUAGAAACCUCUGCUUCAAAUACAGAAACAAGUGAACAAGUGCAGUGAUCAAACCAUCAAGGGCAAGAGCAUGUGGGGAAAAAGGCGUAGACUGUAUUACUGGGAAAGUUUUGAGGAUCUUGACAGAAAAGCACCAUCUCCUUUGACUGUGUUAAGUGAGACAUUGCUUUGCAGAGAUUCUUUUCCAGGAGAAUCAGAUGUGAUGGGUCAGAUGUGCCAGAGGAAACUUAUGGGCUGGAUGAAGAGUGAUGCAGAAAGUACCUGCUGCUGGCACCACCUACCCAUUGUGGUCACUCAAGGCCAGCUGAGCACCACAAAACACAGCUCAGCCCAGGGACAACAGCCAGGAGAGUCCAGCUGCAUCUCUGCUUCUCAUCCUUCUCAUCUGGCUGAAAGCAUUUUACUCAACAUUUACAGAGAAAUCACUAUAAGAGAGUUUACAGCAUGCUUAACAGGAUGUAACUCAUCCUAAAACCAACAAAAAGCUGAAAAGAAGUAAUAAAUGAAAAUAAUUAAAAUAGAAACAUGAAAAUUGUAUUGCAUUGAGCUGUUAAGAACAGCCUUUGCAUCAGAAGAUUCAGGGUGGCUGUUCGGCUCCUCAGUGCUUUGCCAAAUUUGCACCUCAGUAAUUAUAAUUUCAUCUUGAAUACAUAUAGUUUUAAUUGUGACCGCUUUUCCUGCUCUGCACUAACUGCAGGAAUCACAAAAGUGCAGCAGGAGGGCUGUGUAUGACUGGCUUCUUUCUCCAGCCACCUCAGUGACCCAUCAAGAUCCUUGCUCUGACCCCCCAAAGUCUGUGCAGUGCAAAAUAAACCCUACAGUGCUGAAAUAAUUACAGCCCCUAAUUACAGACCCAGAGGCACUGUGCAAAGAAACCAAGUACAUUACUACCCAGAACAAUAAAGCUCCAGUAAAGCUGCCUCAGAACAUGAUGCCAUGCACAGAACCACUGUGGCACUUCGUGGUGAUGUCAGCAACUUGAGCUCCAGGUGGUUUCACUUAAAAUCAAUUCUUCUGACAGGCCACUGGUUCUCAGAGAGUUUAAACCCUCAGCAAACCCUCAGAGAAACCCCUUUAAGGUAUCAUCCACUGUCAUCUGAGUUCAAUAAUUUAAUUCUCAUUGCAUGAUAAUCUAAUAUCCAGCCAAAAACCUUGGAACAGCCUGGUCUACCGGAAGGUGUCCUUGCCCAUGUAGGAGGUUGGAACUAGAUGGUUUGUAAGUCCCGACCCAACAAUCUAUGAUUCUAUAAAUUAUGCUGAUAUGCUCACUUUUCUUUCAGUGUAUGUGAACAGUCAUUUACAAAACACCAUUUCCAGGACUGAUAACCCCUGCCCCCUUAACCUUUUCUGACCUACCUGAACACACUUGACCCCGCAGUUCUGUGGAGGGAGUGGUUCAGGCACCUCUCUAAUUUGUCAUCUUUUAAGGCAUAAUACUAAAAAAAAGGCAGUGUCCAUCUGAGAACUCCUCAGCAGUGGGUAAAGUGCAUUAAUUAUCUCCAUCUUGCAUGUGACAGUAAGUGCUGUAUCCUUGGAGGAGGAAGAGCAGAUCAAGUGGUUCAUGGUCCUUUUGAGCUUGAAAGAAAAAAUAUGCAAAAUUACCCAGGAACACUUUAAAUUAAUUGCUGCCUACUGACAACGCUGGCAAAGUAGCCCUUUGCCCAUCAGCAUUCAGACAAUUAGCUCUGUCCACUUGAGAUGGUGGAGCAGCUCUGUAUUUAUUCAUAUUUUGGGUGAGUUCAAAGUGAAUCGCUUCUGUGAUUUAUUGUCUGCACAGAAGAAUCUCUACAUCUCAUUUCUUCAAAGAGUGCAGUCUCCAGCUCAGGGAUCAAAGCACUGCCAAGGAAACAAUCUCCUCUGGGGAGGGUCAGGAAUGAAUUUUCCACUUUGUUGGUACCUUUUGGCAGGAGCUGUCUGUGAUAGAGAACCUGUCCUUAGAAUCAUAAAAUGGUUUGGGCUGGAAAGGAUCUUGAAGAUCAUCCCAUUCCACCCCCUUGCCACCUUCUACUGGACUAAAUUGCUUCAGUGCCUCACCCUGUGGAAUGUCUGUCUAUCGCCACUUAUGCCAGAAUGCUGAAGACACUAUGUGAAUUUUCCUCUGGAGCAUCUCACCUGUGUGCCACCCCUGGCUCAUCCCAUGUGUGUUCAGGACACGUACUACAGCCCUUUGGCCCCCUCAGACCCCCAGCAAGGCGGGCAGUCCCAGCAAGGGGGGCUCUGGUGCAGGAGGAUAGUUUGAGCAAUUCCUGAGAGCACAGAAGGAGCAGUUGUCAUGGAUACCAACAUGCAAUGGGAGGAUCCAGUUCAGCUCUGUUCUGCCUGUCCUCCCUUGGCCUGCCAUGUGGAUCUGUGGACUGUCGGAACUCAAAAUGUCCCUCAGACAUUUUUAGAGGUUCCAGGCCUUGGUCAAAAGCAUUUUAGACCCUGGCAAGCAGCUGAAAACAGCUGUGAUCUUGAGUUUGAACCAUGGAAUGAAUUACCAACUUUGAAGGUGGAACAAGCGGUCACAGAGAGUUAGAUGGUAUAGUAAAAGUAGUCACAAAUUAGAGGGAAAAAUUUUUUAGUAUUGUACAAGGGGGUUUUAGUACCUGUACAGGGGGGUUUUACUUUGUACAUGGGAGUCAGGAGUUCUAAGAUGGAGGAAAGUGGUCCUGAUCCUGUUCUUCCUCCUUCUUCUUCCUUACCUCCAUGUUCUUGGUGAUGUUGGCAUUUUUCUAUUGGUUUAGGCUGGGGACACACUGUUCAACGUAGAUGAUAGAUAUUGGCACAUUAUUGUAAAUCCAGCACAGGUAGUUUCUGGUAUUUAAUGUUUGUACCAUCCCACUGAGGGGCAGAGCCCCACACGCUGCCCUGCAGGACAGAGCUGCGGCAGGGCAGCAGAACAUGUUAGAGAUAAACAGAAUAAACAACCUUGAAAACAGCACAGACGAAUUAUGGCUUCUUCUUUGGCAACGGGGCAGAAAGACAGAGACUUUUUACAAUCUCGGAAUCACCAAUACCCACAGAUUCCGACAGUGGACUACCCAUUCCACAGCAUGGCGGUAAAGAGAACUGAAAAUUAAAAUCUGCAUGGGAGCAAAACCGCAAUAUUUAAGGGCAAAGUCCCCAGCCUUUCCAAUCAGGACAGCUAUUCCCAAAUACACAAAGCCAGGACAUACUUUGGGGUAUACAGUUGCUGAUCGUGGAAAGGAAAAUGAGGGAAGAGCUACAAGCAAGGAAAGCUGUUUGGCAUAUCUGGGAGAAGAUCUAAAUCCUGAACUUAUUGAGAGAUAAACCUUUUCUCAGCUGGAUUCAGGCCUCUGCAGAACAGUAGGCAUCAGGUGGACUUGGCAAUUUCCCUCUGGCUGUGUAAGACUGACUCUGUGAUCUCCACAAAUUUGAGAAAUUUCACCAUGUUUUCAUUUUUUGAGGAAAACCUCUCCCCAGGUAUAUAGCUGACAGGUCUGAUUAUUUUGUGCUGAAAUGUUUUGUGUUUCUCAUUUGAAAUGAGUAUUUCUAUUUAUUCUGCACAUUUUGUCUUUCGUUCUGGCCAAUCAAAUUUUCUCAUUGCCUUUUCCCCACGGAGUUCAUCACAGUGUUCUGGUUGGAUUUUAGGCGUAAAAUAAAUUCUGAACCAAACUA